rnacentral:rRNA from 1 species
GCUCAAUGAAAUAAUUUAAAUAGCUGCAGUAUAAAUAACUGUACAAAGGUAGCAUAAUAAAUAGCUUUUUAAUUAAAAGCUGGAAUGAAAGAUUUAAUGAAAAAAAAACUUUAUUAAAUUAAAAUAUUAAAAUUUAUAUUUAGAUAAAAAAUUCUAAAUUAUUUAAAUAGACAAAAAGACCCUAUAAAAUUUUUAAAAAUUUAAAAUAAAACUAAAUUUUUUUAGUUGGGGAAAUUUUAAAAUUUAAUUAAUUUUUUUUAUUUUAAACAAAAAUUAUUGAUUAUUCUAACUUUUUUAAAAUAUUAAAAUAAAUUACUUUAGGGAUAACAGUAUAAUUUUUUUUUAUAGAUCUUAUAUAUAAAAAAGUUUAUAACCUCGAUGUUGAAUUAAGAUAAAAUUUAAAUGAAAAAAUUUAUAUUUUAAGUCUGUUCGACU